rnacentral:lncRNA from 1 species
UUUACCAUGUCAGCCAUUUCGCUGCCUAUUUUAUUUUCAAUUGCCUAAUAAAAUUCUAUGGAUAUACGUGGUUAAUAUUACCUAUGUAGUCAGCAUGAUGAAGUGGUCAAUUAAAAUUUACUCUCUGAAGUCUCCCCUAAUGUCUUGUAAUUACAUUCAUGAUUUUCUGAAAAGGCUCAGUGCACUGGAGGAGAUGAGAUCUACAUGCAUCUAUUGAGUCCCAGAGUGCUGAGGAACAGAAAGUUUUAAAUAACUUAUAUGUUAUUGUUUGUUUAUCCUGCUCAUUUUACCUUAAUCUAGCAUCCAAUUAAGCAUAUCCGUCUCAAAUUAUGAAUAUAUUCUCAAAUUAUGAAUAUAUUCAGAAUUGAGGUCAGUGCAUUUCGUUAGGGAAAAUAAAUGGUUCUUCAGUGGGUUAUUACUGUCAGCCAUACCUCUAGUAAGUUUAAUAUGGAAAUCUGCCAAAUAUUCAGUUCAUAGUCAUUAUAAUGAAGUAGAUUUUUUUCUAUUACAUGCAAAUUUAGGUUUUUUUAAAGUAUGUUCCAGCUAUUGUCAAGAAAACAGCUACAAACAUGUCAAAAAUGUCCACCUUUUUAUUGUUUCUGCUUCAGUCUGGGAACAUUCAACUGAGGUUCGAAUUUUCAGGAAGAAAAUUCUAGAUAUGAGAUAAUAAUACAAAGAGAGAGUGAAAGUGCCACAGCUUGGUCCAAGUUCUACUUUAUUAGAGGUGACAAUGUGCAUAUUCAUAUUUUCAACUAUCAG